rnacentral:rRNA from 1 species
UGGGGAAUAUUGGGCAAUGGGCGAAAGCCUUACCCAGCAACGCCGCGUGAGGGAAGAAGGUUUUCGGAUUGUAAACCUCUGUCCUGGGGGACGAAGGAAGUGACGGUACCCCGGGAGGAAGCCCCGGCUAACUACGUGCCAGCAGCCGCGGUAAUACGUAGGGGGCGAGCGUUGUCCGGAAUUAUUGGGCGUAAAGGGCGCGUAGACGGCCGAGUAAGUUAUAGGUGAAAGCCCAUCUUUCAAGGAUGGAAUUGCCUGUAAUACUGCUUGGCUUGAGUGCAGGAGAGGGAAGCGGAAUUCCUAGUGUAGCGGUGAAAUGCGUAGAUAUUAGGAGUAACACCAGUGGCGAAGGCGGCUUUCUGGACUGUAACUGACGUUGAGGCGCGAAAGCGUGGGGAGCAAACAGGAUUAGAUACC